rnacentral:pre_miRNA from 1 species
GGUGCUCCUCCAGCUGCAGGGCAGGAGGGAAGCAGAGCUUAGAGCUGUUUUCUACGCUCGAGCUGGCUUUGCUCAAGCCCCGUGUGCGGAGGGUUUCC